GGAAGAGAAUCGGCCCCGGUGGGCCGGCCGGCCUUCAAAGCCGGUGGGGGCUGCCCUGCGGUCCCGGGUGGGUUCGACUCCCGCUCUCUUCCGC
rnacentral:tRNA from 1 species